GGACAGUCCCCGGGGCUUCCAGGACUUCGUGACCUUCUGGCCGCACGUGGUUUCGGCUGUUCCCCACCGCGGGGCGGGGCAUUUGGCGGGAAGCUCCUGUGAGGUCCACAUACUGUCAUAAUCCGCAGACUAAAGAAGUCAACCAUUUGCCUGAAGUCACGCAGCUAGCUGGCAAAUGCUGAGGCUGUGAUUCCGGCAAAGUCUGUGCUUAUAACUGGUACUCCUUGUUGCUCUCACUACCUUAAUUUCUCUGGUUCUAAAAUGGGGCUCCUCUCCUCCCUUAUCACAGACAGAGCUGGCGAAAAUGAACUGGCCCUUAGGGAUUGAGAGCUAGGUUCUCUCUGAGCCACACUUAUUGACUGAGAGCUUGGGGUUGUCACUUUCCUUCCAGCCUCAGAAAAACCCAGCUGAAGUUGAGCUCCCCAUGGGCGGG